GAAAAUACUUUGGGAGUAUGGAUGUGGCCUUUAGAGAGUCUGAGUUUGAGCCUUAUUUCUCUCAAACUCCUCUUCAGGAGGAGAUUAGGAUAGAAGAGGAGGCUCCUUUAGCUCCUAUGUCCAUAUCUGUUCCUAAACAAUUUGUGAAUAUGAACACUAUUGAUGAGCGAGAACCUAUAAAGGGUAGACUUGAUAGGUCAGAUUAAAAAAGGUACAGUCGAAGAGAGAAGGUUAAUGCCAUCACGCAUGAUACACAUGUCAUCUCUG
rnacentral:lncRNA from 1 species